rnacentral:rRNA from 1 species
CGAGCUAAUACCGGAUAAUAUAUUGAACCGCAUGGUUCAAUAGUGAAAGACGGUUUUGCUGUCACUUAUAGAUGGAUCCGCGCCGCAUUAGCUAGUUGGUAAGGUAACGGCUUACCAAGGCAACGAUGCGUAGCCGACCUGAGAGGGUGAUCGGCCACACUGGAACUGAGACACGGUCCAG